GGACGAAAGUCUGACGGAGCAACGCCGCGUGAGUGAUGAAGGGUUUCGGCUCGUAAAGCUCUGUUAUGAGGGAAGAACACGUACCGUUCGAAUAGGGCGGUACCUUGACGGUACCUCAUCAGAAAGCCACGGCUAACUACGUGCCAGCAGCCGCGGUAAUACGUAGGUGGCAAGCGUUGUCCGGAAUUAUUGGGCGUAAAGCGCGCGCAGGCGGCCUUUUAAGUCUGAUGUGAAAUCUUGCGGCUCAACCGCAAGCGGCCAUUGGAAACUGGGAGGCUUGAGUACAGAAGAGGAGAGUGGAAUUCCACGUGUAGCGGUGAAAUGCGUAGAUAUGUGGAGGAACACCAGUGGCGAAGGCGACUCUCUGGUCUGUAACUGACGCUGAGGCGCGAAAGCGUGGGGAGCAAACAGGAUUAGAUACCCUGGUAGUCCACGCCGUAAACGAUGAGUGCUAGGUGUUAGGGGUUUCGAUGCCCGUAGUGCCGAAGUUAACCACAUUAAGCACUCCGCCUGGGGAGUACGGCCGCAAGGCUGAAACUCAAAGGAAUUGACCGGGGGCCCGCACCAGCAGUGGAGCAUGUGGUUUAAUUCAAAGCCACGCAAAAAACCUUACCAGGUUUUGACAUCCUUUGACCACUCUUGGAGACAGAGCUUCCCCUUCGGGGGCAAAGUGACAGGUGGUGCAUGGUUGUCGUCAGCUCGUGUCGUGAGAUGUUGGGUUAAGUCCCGCAACGAGCGCAACCCUUGACCUUAGUUGCCAGCAUUUCAGUUGGGCACUCUAAGGUGACUGCCGGUGACAAACCGGAGGAAGGUGGGGAUGACGUCAAAUCAUCAUGCCCCUUAU
rnacentral:rRNA from 1 species